UACGUAGGGCGCAAGCGUUAUCCGGAAUUAUUGGGCGUAAAGAGCUCGUAGGCGGUUUGUCGCGUCUGCCGUGAAAGUCCGGGGCUCAACUCCGGAUCUGCGGUGGGUACGGGCAGACUAGAGUGAUGUAAGGGAGACUGGAAUUCCUGGUGUAGCGGUGAAAUGCGCAGAUAUCAGGAGGAACACCGGUGGCGAAGGCGGCUUUCUGGACAGAAACUGACGCUGAGGCGCGAAAGCUAGGGGAGCGAACGGG
rnacentral:rRNA from 1 species